rnacentral:rRNA from 1 species
UACGUAGGGUGCAAGCGUUGUCCGGAAUUAUUGGGCGUAAAGAGCUUGUAGGCGGUUUGUCGCGUCUGCUGUGAAAUUUCGGGGCUCAACCCCGAACUUGCAGUGGAUACGGGCAGACUAGAGGUAGGUAGGGGGAGAAUGGAAUUCCCGGUGUAGCGGUGAAAUGCGCAGAUAUCGGGAGGAACACCGGUGGCGAAGGCGGUUCUCUGGGCCUUACCUGACGCUGAGGAGCGAAAGCGUGGGGAGCGAACAGG